AGAGUUUGAUCCUGGCUUAGGAUGAACGCUAGCUACAGGCUUAACACAUGCAAGUCGAGGGGCAGCAGGGAGAAGCUUGCUUUCUUGCUGGCGACCGGCGCACGGGUGAGUAACGCGUAUCCAACCUUCCCCUUAGUAGGGCAUAGCCCGGCGAAAGUCGGAUUAAUACCCUAUGUUAUCCGAAGAGGACAUCUGAAUUGGAUUAAAGAUUUAUCGCUAAGGGAUGGGGAUGCGUCUGAUUAGGUAGUCGGCGGGGUAACGGCCCACCGAGCCUACGAUCAGUAGGGGUUCUGAGAGGAAGGUCCCCCACAUUGGUACUGAGACACGGACCAAACUCCUACGGGAGGCAGCAGUGAGGAAUAUUGGUCAAUGGGCGUAAGCCUGAACCAGCCAAGUAGCGUGCAGGAUGACGGCCCUAUGGGUUGUAAACUGCUUUUAUGCGGGGAUAAAGUGCGGCACGUGUGCCGUUUUGUAGGUACCGCAUGAAUAAGGACCGGCUAAUUCCGUGCCAGCCGCAGC
rnacentral:rRNA from 1 species